CCAGACUCACAAAUCGAACUAUAAAAUCACAGUCCUUAAUUUAUACAUAUUCUCCUAAACCUGAGAACACUCUUAAAUCGAACUACAUUCAAACAGCAAACCAAAUCCAGACCUUAAGACAAAAUAUAAUAUCAGUGAAUGAAAUACACAUAAUGAGCUAGUCUAAAAGAAACAAGAACAAAAAUAUGACAAAUUCGAGCAGUAAUCAACAACAGAAGACUAACAUUUGUCAUUUUUCUUCAACUUGGAUUACAUGUCUUCACAUUUGCAUCUCAUAUGCUACUCAAAAGCCAAAGCAUACCUGAAUACAGCAAUCAAAACCAAGAAGAAGUUGUGCUUAAGAGUCAUCAGAAUGCAGAAAUUCAGUCACAGCAACAGUACUUCCACAACAAUGAAAUAGUGCUAAAGCAACAAAUCUACCCAAACUUUUAAACUAACUCAAGCCAUUUUUUCAGCCCAGGUGCAUGAUUUUGGAGCAGUUUUAGAAGUUCUAACUAACAAAGGGAAUCAGAGAACCAAAAACCAAGCACAAUUUAAGCAAUUUUCAGUAUUUUGGAAUUUGAAAGAGAACUCGGCUGCUUCUAAAAUUCUCAUUGUUUUUUCAGUCUCUCAAAAACUAACUUGAUUAGAAAGUAAGAGCCUUUUAUAGAGAACAACUAGGGCAGCGAAAAUGAGUCAAGUUAUUUGCCAAUUACUCCUUUUCGAAUUUUUGUUUUUGCUAGUGAAUCCUUAAUUUUAAAAUCUGUUUGCUAGGUCAGUCCCAAACCCACCUUCCUAGCAGCUUCCUAAGUCUGUUAGAAUAGAUUCCCCAGCCUAAACUCCCUAGACUACCCUUAAAACCCAUGCCAGUUACCAUUAAGCCAAAUAUGGGUCAAUUUGACCCAAAACUAACCAGACAACGGGCUUGCAAACCCGGGCUAAUCCCCUUUCUUUGGGUUUAUGAUUUACAAAACCCAAUUCAAAUCAAAAUCAAAGCUCACAAAAUUAAGGGGCUAAACGGAAUUGCCCCAAAACCAAAAUUUCUUUUGAAAAAUGAAAUAAACAAAAAGUAGGGAUAAAUCGAAACUAACACAAAAAUUAAAACAAACAUGAACUAACAAGUUUUUUUUUUUAAUUUCAAACAUGCAAACAGAAAGUGAUUCAAACAGAAAAAUGAAAAAUAAUAAGGAAAAAGAAAAGAUGAAACAGAAGGAGAUGGAGACGGGGAAAAUAACAAAAUGAAGACGAAGAGAAAAAUGGAAAUACCUAUAAUAACAGGCGAAAGAAUGGCUUGAAUGGACCUCCGACAUUCUGAUUUCGAGCCGAAAUUGGUAUUCAUCGUGGGUUUUUAUUGAGAAUCCGACGAAAACAACAAUUUCGACCCCAAAUCAACAUCGAAGCUUGAAAAAUUCGGGAGAUUUUGUUUUCCUCUACUGCCUUCUUAGAUCCGAAAUUGGCUCUUUUUGGUGAUGAUUCGAGGGAAUAUGGUGAUGGAUUGGGGGUCAGGGGUGAGUGAGGGUUGUGUGGUGUUUAUUUGGGGUUAAUUGGAGGUGGCACCGCCGGCUAUAGAUGAUGGAGAAAUCAGGGCGGUGCUAGGGUUUGAUGAGGGAGAUGAGAGAUAGA
rnacentral:lncRNA from 1 species